UUGCGGAGAUGCACGGUUUCAAGAAGCUGGGUGAGGGAACCUAUAGGGCCAUUCUGCUGGCAGCAGGGGGGUGGCCCUGGGAAAGGAGCCCUGUGGUUGGCCUCGCCUCAGAGCACAAAGACGGGUGGUAGCGGGGCAACAGCCAUGACGGGCAAUGGUAGGGAGGUGGCAGCGCUGGAAGCAAGACAGCUCCAGUCACCCAGUACUCAUUCAGCCUGGAGCUAUGAAGAGAAGCACUAGCCCUCCUGAAUAUGCUGGUCGAUGACUUGAAAACGGGUGGGGCAAGGGAAUAUAAAGGACAGCAGGACUGCUUUUCCUCAGACAGACUGCCGAAAGACUGCUUUUCCUCAGACAGACUGCCGAAAAGUAGCUUAUCCUUGCUACGCUAAACCAACAUGAACACAGUGGACCAUUUUAAGAUUUUGCUCCUUCAAGGGAACAGAAAAUUACUACCACUCGUAGUGCCACCGCAAGUUAUUUGUUGACUACCCACGGAAGUGAUCAGACCAAAGUGUCACAGCCGAGGUUCCUGAAUACCAACUUUCUUGGCGGAGGAACAGAGAAGAAAGGACUUCAAAAAUUAUUAUGAUCAGAAUAAUUUAGUAACAGUUUUCUCAU